UGAUUUAUUUUUCAAUAUAUUUUGUUAUAGUAAUAAUAACGUUAUAAUGAUAACAGCAGGCAACAGAGGUCAUGUACACGGAUGGUGACAUAGUGCGUUGGAUAGGUCUUGGUGCCCUGAAUAUGGAACACACCUCCAUUCGUCCCAGUGACGUCUGUGUGGAGAGGUUACCCACUCGAAUAUAUG